rnacentral:rRNA from 1 species
CAGUCGAGGGGCAGCGAGAUCAGUGCUUGCACUGAUUGUCGGCGACCGGCGCACGGGUGCGUAACGCGUAUGCAACCUACCCAUUACAGGGGGAUAACACUGAGAAAUCGGUACUAAUACCCCAUAACAUCCAGGGAGGCAUCUUCUUGGGUUGAAAACUCCGGUGGUAAUGGAUGGGCAUGCGUUGUAUUAGUUAGUUGGUGGGGUAACGGCUCACCAAGACAACGAUACAUAGGGGGACUGAGAGGUUAACCCCCCACAUUGGUACUGAGACACGGACCAAACUCCUACGGGAGGCAGCAGUGAGGAAUAUUGGUCAAUGGACGCAAGUCUGAACCAGCCAUGCCGCGUGCAGGAAGACGGCUCUAUGAGUUGUAAACUGCUUUUGUACGAGGGUAAACGCAGAUACGCGUAUCUGUCUGAAAGUAUCGUACGAAUAAGGAUCGGCUAACUCCGUGCCAGCAGCCGCGGUAAUACGGAGGAUUCAAGCGUUAUCCGGAUUUAUUGGGUUUAAAGGGUGCGUAGGCGGUCGGAUAAGUUAGAGGUGAAAUCCCGAGGCUCAACUUCGGAAUUGCCUCUGAUACUGUUUGGCUAGAGAGUAGUUGCGGUAGGCGGAAUGUAUGGUGUAGCGGUGAAAUGCUUAGAGAUCAUACAGAACACCGAUUGCGAAGGCAGCUUACCAAGCUACUUCUGACGUUGAGGCACGAAAGCGUGGGGAGCAAACAGGAUUAGAUACCCUGGUAGUCCACGCAGUACACGAUGAUAACUCGUUGUCGGCGAUACAUUGUCGGUGACUAAGCGAAAGCGAUAAGUUAUCCACCUGGGGA